rnacentral:rRNA from 1 species
UACGUAGGGUCCGAGCGUUGUCCGGAAUUAUUGGGCGUAAAGAGCUCGUAGGCGGUCUGUUGCGUCGGCUGUGAAAACCCGGGGCUCAACCCCGGGCCUGCAUUCGAUACGGGCAUCACUGGAGUUCGGCAGGGGAGACUGGAAUUCCUGGUGUAGCGGUGAAAUGCGCAGAUAUCAGGAGGAACACCGGUGGCGAAGGCGGGUCUCUGGGCCGAUACUGACGCUGAGGAGCGAAAGCGUGGGGAGCGAACAGG